GGUCCGUUGGUCAAGGGGUUAAGACACCGUCCUUUUCACGGCGGUAACACGGGUUCGAAUCCCGUACGGACUA
rnacentral:tRNA from 1 species